CGCGUAGGCGGUUUCGCUAGUCAGGCGUGAAAUCCCCAGGCUUAACUUGGGAAUUGCGUUUGAUACUUCGAGACUUGAGUGAGGGAGAGGAUAGUGGAAUUCCCAGUGUAGAGGUGAAAUUCGUAGAUAUUGGGAAGAACACCAGUGGCGAAGGCGGCUAUCUGGACCUCAACUGACGCUGAGGCGCGAAAGCGUGGGAAGCAAACA
rnacentral:rRNA from 1 species